ACGAUGACUACCCAUGUGACUACCAAUCUCAUCUGUUCACCAAAUUGUCUAUAAAAGUUCUAAUCUUUCCUAAAUCUAACUACAGAAAAUAAUGCCUAUGGUGGUUAUUGGUUAAAAUGCGUUUUAAAACUUCGAUUUAACUAUUCACACGCGACCAAGUAAGCUUCGUUGACUCAAAUUAAGGAUCCACAUUAUUGAGAAAUCAUUAAAAAUCAG